UACGUAGGGUGCAAGCGUUAAUCGGAAUUACUGGGCGUAAAGCGUGCGCAGGCGGUUUUGUAAGUCUGACGUGAAAUCCCCGGGCUCAACCUGGGAAUUGCGUUGGAGACUGCAAGGCUGGAGUCUGGCAGAGGGGGGUAGAAUUCCACGUGUGAGCAGUGAAAUGCGUAGAGAUGUGGAGGAACACCGAUGGCGAAGGCAGCCCCCUGGGCUAACACUGACGCUCCAGGCACGAAAGCGUGGGGAGCAAACGAGG
rnacentral:rRNA from 1 species